rnacentral:misc_RNA from 1 species
CAGAGUUCGCGCCCCCGGGCGGAUCUCCCACCCACUGUCAUCACUACGACCGUUGCUUUGGCGGGCCGCCGAGCCCCCUCGCCGCCGGCCCUCGCCAGCGUGCGCCCGCCAGAGGCUCCACAGACUCUAGAUGUCGGUGUUGUCCGAGUACCGCAUAAUAGUUA